rnacentral:rRNA from 1 species
GACGAACCGUCCAAACGUUAUUCGGAAUCACUGGGCUUACAGAGUUCGUAGGCGGUCUGGAAAGUUGGGUGUGAAAUCCCUCGGCCUAACCGAGGAACUGCGCUUGAAACUACCAGACUCGAGGGAGAUAGAGGAAAGCGGAACUGAUGGUGGAGCGGUGAAAUGCGUUGAUAUCAUCAGGAACACCGGUGGCGAAGGCGGCUUUCUGGGUCUUACCUGACGCUGAGGUGCGAAAGCGUGGGGAGCAAACAGG